rnacentral:lncRNA from 1 species
UGCGUAGUCCCAAUCCCUAGGGUAGGCACUGCCACCGCAGAUGAUGAGCUUGGGGCGAAAGUCGAGGGCUUUCUCCUCGAGCUUGUCGUAGUCGAUGUACCCGGUCACGGGGCUGACCUUGUAGGGGAGGCUCUCGAAGUAAAUGGAGGUGGCGGAGAUCUUCUUGCCACCGGAGGUGUAGUAGCCGUGAGUGAGGUGUCCGCCGGAGGGAAGGUCGAGGCCCAUGAUGCGGUCAUGGGGGUUGAGGACGGCGGUGUAGGCGGCGAAAUUGGCAGGACUGCCAGAGUAUGGCUGGACGUUGACGCCCCACUUGGCGGGGUCGAG